GAUGAACGCUGGCGGCGUGCCUAAUACAUGCAAGUCGAGCGAACAGAUGAGGAGCUUGCUCCUCUGACGUUAGCGGCGGACGGGUGAGUAACACGUGGAUAACCUACCUAUAAGACUGGGAUAACUUCGGGAAACCGGAGCUAAUACCGGAUAACAUAUUGAACCGCAUGGUUCAAUAGUGAAAGACGGUUUUGCUGUCACUUAUAGAUGGAUCCGCGCCGCAUUAGCUAGUUGGUAAGGUAACGGCUUACCAAGGCAACGAUGCGUAGCCGACCUGAGAGGGUGAUCGGCCACACUGGAACUGAGACACGGUCCAGACUCCUACGGGAGGCAGCAGUAGGGAAUCUUCCGCAAUGGGCGAAAGCUUGACGGAGCAACGCCGCGUGAGUGAUGAAGGUCUUCGGAUCGUAAAACUCUGUUAUUAGGGAAGAACAAAUGUGUAAGUAACUACGCACGUCUUGACGGUACCUAAUCAGAAAGCCACGGCUAACUACGUG
rnacentral:rRNA from 1 species